UACGUAGGGUGCGAGCGUUGUCCGGAAUUAUUGGGCGUAAAGAGCUUGUAGGCGGUUUGUCGCGUCUGCUGUGAAAAUCCGGGGCUCAACCCCGGACUGCAGUGGGUACGGGGCAGACUAGAGUGUGGUAGGGGAGACUGGAAUUCCUGGUGUAGCGGUGGAAAUGCGCAGAUAUCAGGAGGAACACCGAUGGCGAAGGCAGAUCUCUGG
rnacentral:rRNA from 1 species